GGAAUCUUCCACAAUGGGCGAAAGCCUGAUGGAGCAACGCCGCGUGUGUGAUGAAGGGUUUCGGCUCGUAAAACACUGUUGUAAGAGAAGAAUGACAUUGAGAGUAACUGUUCAAUGUGUGACGGUAUCUUACCAGAAUGGAACGGCUAAAUACGUGCCAG
rnacentral:rRNA from 1 species